rnacentral:rRNA from 1 species
GACGAACGCUGGCGGCGUGCUUAACACAUGCAAGUCGAACGGUAAGGCCCUUCGGGGUACACGAGUGGCGAACGGGUGAGUAACACGUGGGUGAUCUGCCCUGCACUUCGGGAUAAGCCUGGGAAACUGGGUCUAAUACCGGAUAGGACCACUGCCUGCAUGGGAGGUGGUGGAAAGCUUUUGCGGUGUGGGAUGGGCUCGCGGCCUAUCAGAUUGUUGGUGGGGUGAUGGCCGACCAAGGCGACGACGGGUAGCCGGCCUGAGAGGGUGACCGGCCGCACUGGGACUGAGAUAAGGCCCAGACUCCUACGGGAGGCAGCAGUGGGGAAUAUUGCACAAUGGGCGCAAGCCUGAUGCAGCGACGCCGCGUGAGGGAUGACGGCCUUCGGGUUGUAAACCUCUUUCAGCACCGACGAAGCGCGAGUGACGGUAGGUGCAGAAGAAGGACCGGCCAACUACGUGCCAGCCGCCGCUGUAA